AUUGAACGCUGGCGGCAGGCCUAACACAUGCAAGUCGAACGAGUGGCGGACGGGUGAGUAAUGUCUGGGAAAGUGCGUGAUGGAGGGGGAUAACUACUGGAAACGGUAGCAAAUACCGCAUACCAUCGGAUGUGCCCAGAUGGGAUUAGCGAGUAGGUGGGGGAAAGGCUCACCUAGGCGACGAUCCCUAGCUGGUCUGAGAGGAGGACCAGCCACACUGGAACUGAGACAAGGUCCAGACUCGUAAGGGAGGCAGCAGUGGGGAAUAUUGCACAAUGGGCGCAAGUCUGAUGCAGCCAUGCCGCGUGUGUGAAGAAGGUCUUCGGGUUGUAAAGUACGUUCAGCGGGGAGGCGUUACCCGCAGAAGAAGCACCGGCUAACUCCGUGCCAGCAGCCGCGGUAAUUC
rnacentral:rRNA from 1 species